CCAGAGUCUGGUUUGGUUCAGAAAAUGCCUUUUUUUGUGGGGUAUCCAAUACCUACUGCUCCUCUAGCCCUACAGAGCUCUCCCAUAUUGCUGCCAUCCUGGGACCUCAUUAUCCACCUGUGGCUGAAAGCAGCGCUGCACCAAGGCAGAUAACAAUCUAAUACAAUAGAUUUCAGAGUCCACAUUCUCAAAAAAAAGGGCAGUGAGUGCACAGACAGCUCCAUCAGCAGAGUCAUUACAGUGAGGUACCUAACUGAUUCUGGGAAACUGUAUUCAAAUAUUUAAACAAGACUCUUACUAUCCAUAAUGACUGCAAAAAUCCCUACAAUGAAGCACUACCCAUUUGUAAUUGCUGAUUAUAAGCCAGGGUUUUCAACGGAGGCUUUUUUCUUAUUUGCCUUAUUAUUACAAAAUUGGGCAGAGAUCAUUAAUAUAAUGCACACACACACAAAAAAUUAUAUCUUGUACAGAGCAAUCUGUACUUUCCUUCUUUCUUUCUAGGCUUAUUGGAGACAACGCCAAGCAAUUUCAUGUUAAGGCGGAGUGAGGAGUAAUUGAAUACAUUUUCUCUCAUGUUGUAUUUCGUUUUAUAUAGCAAAAAUACAAAGAACGGAUUUUCAUUGAACAAAAAACAAGCAUCACUUCAUUAACAUCUUAAAACCAUCACCAGCCAUAGAGGCGCAUGUGCAUCUGCCCAAAUUCUCUGAUUUAUUUUCCUCCUCAUAGCUCAGACACCCACAUAGUUAAGAAAUAGCUUGGAAAACAGAUAUGCUUGCAAAACACCUCCUCUCUCAGGACAGAGAGCUGUUUACAUAAUAGCAAUGUUUAUCCAACAAAGUUCUGUGGCACUUCAGUACGACCUGUGGUGCAUGAGUGACUGCAUCCUGCCAUCUACCUGCAGGAUGGGUGAAGGCAGGGCCGUGGUCCUGGUGCUGCAGGAACCCACUUGCACUCACACCUUUAGACGCUGGGUGUCACCUCGUAAGUACCCUCAGUGCUUCCUGAUGGGCUUGACAGGCAGCCUGCAGGAGCAGCGGGGAGGUGUGUUUAGGGUUUUUACAUUGGCUUGCUCCCAGCCCUGGCCUAACCAGUCUCCACGUUCUCUCAGGGAGGCCCGUGGAGUGGAAGGCUACAGCAGGCACUGCAGGUUCCCUAAAUGCUCUCUUCCCCGGACAAAACGAAUUCUUAUUGACAACAAGUGGGCUCCAGGGUUGAAACUGGCAGCCUGCAUACUCUUCCUGUUGCUCAACAGUAUCUGCAGGGCAGAUGUGUUUGCAUACAACAAUACCAGAACAUAUUUUCAGUGAGUGUUCAUGAGCUGUCUGCUGGAUGGUAGCCCAGUGUGCCUUCAGGUUCAGCUCAAAUAAAGGAAAGAGAUGGGGUGCUUCAGAAACAUCCACUGCAAAUGCACGUAUGGCCAAAGCCUCAGCACAAGAAAUAGGAAGAAACACAGGAGUUGCAUCCUAAUCAAUGUGCUUUCAUUGGGAGCCUUCAGCACCAGUCUUACCUGUUCCCUACCUGCUUAUUUGAUGGCACUCACAUGGCUGGAGAGCCAAACCCUUCAGCCCAAAGAAGGUCUCUGGAGCUUGGUCCAAGUCUGACAGCACAGCCAGGUCAUCCUUCCACGAAAGCAGGGAAGCACGGGCACCGCUUCCCUCCAAACCACCAGACAAAGCAGCUCGUGUGUGGGAGAGGAAAAAUUCUGCUUUCCAGAGCCCCAGUGACUUGUUUUUCCAUCCUGACGGCUCGAGAAGUGAGGAUCUGUGCCUGAAAAUCUGAGAGAAAGUAGGCUGUAUUUGUGUGUGGAUGAACAGCAAACAGACACCUUCCCCCUGUACCAGCCCCCCGGAUGGCACUGAGUGUCUUCAGUAGAGAACGUGAUGACCUGCAAGGGAGCCUCAGAAGGCCAAACGAGAUGUGUGGUAAAGAAGAAAACACGUUUAAUAAAACCUGUUGCAAAGAGAAGAAAUGAGGAGGAGGAAGGCAAUGAGAAGAAGGCAAUCUGUGACCAAGAAAUGACAGAAGCCUUCUGCUUAUAAUGCUAACUUUUGAAUAAAAGUAAGAGUAAUUGUGUUAAAAGUCAGUCACUUGUUCCUCAAGUAUCUACUAUAUUUUUUCAACUUCUGGUUUAAAAUAUUUACAGCCAUUUUAACGUAGAUUGACACCUAAAUCAGCCACUCAUGUUCAACUCAGUGGAGUCUGCACUCCAGAAGCCUUGGUCCAUACAGUUAACACAGGUUUCUUACAUGGUCUGUGGCAAAAGGUAGACCCGUGUCUGCAAGUGGUCAGGGACAUCUAAGCUAAAGGAUCAUUCCUCUCUACCGACCUUAUAAAGAAAAAAUGCUGAAAUUCAAUACCUGCUUUCUCUUGACAUCCAAGCUGAGUCUUCUGUAGAAAGACACUAGUGGAGACUCUUCGUACUGAGCAGUAACAGUAGUUUCCUGGUAGAGUAUCUGUCAAGGAAUAGAAGAUCCUCUUUGGCCAUGUUUCCCACAGCCUCAUUGCGUGACCUAGUUAGGCUACAUUACUUCAUCACUGCGCAAAGUAGAAAAGGACCAGAAUUACCCAUCCCAGCUUGUGCUCUACUACCUGCUAGGGCAGAGUCAAGAUCCCAUGUGUACUCAGCCAGAAGUCUUCACCUUCUGCCUAGCUGCCCAGUGUCAACAGGAGGGAAGAGCAUGAUGAUACCAUGAGCUUCUCACUUGGACUGAGAAAUCUUCUGUGGAGGUAGAGUUUAAGCAUCUGGACUUACCAAAGGCGGGUCUCUCCAGUCCUUGUCCAGAGAAAGUAAAAGAAGUGCGCUUUUAAGGUGCAGCCACUGCCCUGAAUUUCACAGAACUUUCAUCUGACCAAGAGAAAAUAAGUUGACUUCAGCUAAAAUUAGACUUGAGGUUGCCACCUCUGAACUUCAGGAAGAAUUUAAGAGAACUGGACCACUUGCAUCAUUAUGCCAAUAAAAUGAUACUUCUCUCUCUUUCAGCCUCUUUGUUGAGGUAUGUUGAUGAUUAGCCACCUAUGACCAGGGCAAUAUCUGCCAGGGAUUUUUACACGUUUAAGUUUCUUCACAGCCUAUAUUCUCAUUGUAGGCCAGGAGAAGCCACUGUGUUAAUGAUGGCCCUCAUAAGAAUGAAUUAUGGCCCGAGGCCAGAUUCAACAGUUUCCCAGAGACAGGAUGGCCGUUAACUGGGCAGUAGCCUGGGGUUUAUGUUUCACUACAAACCUUCUCUGUGCACAUCAGCAAGAUGUUUGAGCCAAAUCAAAGGAGUUGAGCUUCUCUGUUCUCACACUGCCAUUGGUAAAAUGACAGUCAUGACUCUUCUCCACUUCAGAGGGAUGUCGCAAGGAUAUUACAUGAAAAAAAUAUGAACAUGAGUAUUUAGAUGAACAUCAGAAAGUAUAAAACUCUCCCUGCUCCCAGGCUAGCAUACCCUUUCAUCUUUUUGGGGCCAAUGGUUUGAAGUAAAAGUUGCUGUUAACAUGUAUUUGCCUUAGCAAGGUGUUAAAGUCAUUUCUUUUUAAAUGGUGAUUCCUACACACAACCUGUUCCCAAGUUCCAGGUCCGGGUGCAAGUUCUAUUCCUGUGACUUGCAAAGCCACCGGGGACUCACAAGUGGCUCUGGCGUUGCAAAUCCACUCUUCCUGGAAAGAUUUCCUGUUCUUAUCAGGGAAGGAAACCUCAUUUAAAUUUGAAUAUUCACUUCCAAUGGUACAGAUUGUUAAAAGAUUGUUCUGCCAACAGAAUAACACAAAACUAGCAAUGUGACACUGUUAUACGAGUAAAAAUGAAGGAUGAACCAUCAAUCUGGAUUUUUAAAUGAUCUCUGUUAGAAUCUGUCACUGGUAAUAAAUGAUUGAUCCAUUUCCUAAAUAUAUAACUUUUAGCUUUUUCCUCCUCUGUUUUCAAUUUGCCUUUACUUCUCAGUCCAUCUUUUUCAGUACAAACAUGUUUUCCCCCAACACUUGUAGGACUUUUCUUUUGUGUAGGGUCUUAGUCAUCUCUGCCAGCGCUGUGCUUCCCUCCAAUGAUGAAGAAAGCAGCCCGCUCCAUGAUACUGUUGUAUGUAUGCAUUAAGUGAAAUCAGGCUGCUUUUAUAACCUAUUUCUAAAACACUCAGGGUAAUUUACUGUUGUUUUUGCAAAAUUGUGAAUAACAGAGAAUAACAAUAUUUUGAACAAAUGACGAUAUUCUUCGUCGACGGAGAAUAAACAGGCUUGUUAGGGUGUAAUUGUUGUGCAUGAGUUUCUGGUUAGUUGUUGCUAUUUCACAGGGAAAUAGGACGCACUUGAAAGCUUCCGCAUCACUCCAGCUCCAAUGCUGGUACAGAAGAUGAAUAUUUUCAAGGAGAGGUAGAAAUGUCGAUUCCACUAACAAAUUUACAGUGCAAUAUAGCGAAAGAAUAAAACACGGUUUAUGGGUUGCUUUCUCCAGCUUAUUUUUAUCUCACAGAAUAAUACUUUAAAAGCACCCUAAGAAAAUGUUUCUCUUCCUGCUGAACUAUCUUUAUUUUUAGAUUGGAUACUUACCCUAUACAACUAUUUAGUCUGAUCCAGCUGAUGCAAAAGGUUGCUCUUUCAGUGUACAGCCUGCAUUGUCCCUGCUUAAACUGAAGAUGUGGGUGCAUGCUUUAUGAACCAGCCAUCUAAACUUGAAAGUGUGCUGGAGGAGCAGAGCAAAGAAAUUAAAUCUUUUAAAGUCCUCAUCACAUUGGGUUAAUUUAGCAGGCCGUGCUUCUGUUCUGUUUGCAUGACCACAGAGUGCUUGAUUGACUUUGACAUUUGAGUGAAAUGGAUGGAUAUUAAUGAAAGGAUGCAGAUAAGGAGCUGGAGAGAUAGAUACCAGGAUCAGACUGUUAAUGCUUUUACAUUCAAACUUUAUACAUGUGUAUAUAUAAAAAAAUGCUUUUGCAAACACCAUAAUGUUCAUUACACUAUUCAGAAAAGGAGGUUUACUGUGACAAUCUGCUGAAAACUGCUUCUGUGAUGAUAACAGGAAAUCAGUCACUUAUUUUGCUGGAUUGUUCAGAAAACUGACAGACAGGCUCCGACUGAAUCUAAGCAGCCUGCACCUGGUCAGAAAACCGUGCAAUGUGACAACAGCCUCUGUGUUGCUAAUAAUUAUGCACCAAUUUAAUCAUCAACCUCAUGCUUAGCAAAAUGAAAGGAUAAAACUGGGUAAAUGAUGCAGCUAUAGGUAUUUAAAUCAUGCGGCAUUUUUUGGUAUGGUGAUGAGUGGCUCUUUUUUCUAAUUCUAGAUGAUGCUGACAGUAUUUAAAAUUGAGGUUAGAAAUUACAGCAAGAAUCUGACUUGUGAUAUGUGUCAUAAGAUGUGGCAUUUUGCUCUGAAUCGAAUAUAGAUUGUUGGUCGCUUUAAUCAAUAGCUCCGAAAGACCACAACGCAAAUAAGAUUAAAACUACUCAUUCCUUCGUAUGCAUAAUGGCCGCUUCUUUGAUUCCCAUUUAGCAUUUAAAUUAGUUCAGCCACAAAGCACAGAGUACAGAUGCAAGUUUGAUUAUAUCAUUAGCGAAGUUCUCCUGGAUCAAUUUAAAACUAUUACACUUCAGAAAGAAUUAAGACGGAGCUCUACGGGAAGAUAUUUCCAGGCACAGAUCUUGUCUAUUGUCAUGUAUGUGAGUGCUUUGGUUUUUUUUUUUCCUCCUACAAGGAAGACGCACUAUUAAUUCUUUCAAAAGUCUUUACCAUGCUAUUCCACCACAUAGAAUCCAUGUGGCCAUCUUUGUGACCAUCGUGCCUCAUACCUGACAGUCUUUUGGCUCUGGUUUUCACUCCGAUAAGAAGAAACUUCACUUGAGUACA
rnacentral:lncRNA from 1 species